AUGGAGGGGAAGGCACUGCAGGUCCAGGCAGCAGUGACCCCCCCUCCCCUCAGCCCUUGGGUGCAUGUGGAAUACAGAACAGGAGGGAAUUCCCCGGGAGAUGUCUCCUGCAGUUUGAGAAACUCAGAACAAAACAAAGAGAAGGCUUUUAAUGGAAGGCAAAACGGAAGACAACCCUCAAAAGAAGAAGUGAAGAAAAAGGUGGCAUUUGAAUUACAUUUACAGCACUGCACAGGUGUCAGAAGUGAAACACGGCUGCAGAGCUCUUCAGAUCUUACAGAGAUCACAGGUCUGGGCUUUUGCUGUAGAUCAACUUAUUCUGUAGCAAGUGUGAAUACUUAG
rnacentral:lncRNA from 1 species